GUGGUAAUGGGGGAUUAGAGGGCAAAGAGGAGAAAGAGAUGAGAAAGAAGCCAACCUUCCUCCCUGGAGAGUCUCCAACCACCUCUCCCCCUACUGACACCCCCACUCCUACUGACCCAGGAGGCCGGUCAGGAGCAGCAUGUAAGGGUAACUUUCUGAUCCAGGGAUCGAACCCUGGUUUCCUGAAUUGAAGGCAGAUUCUGUACCAUCUGAGCCACCAGGGGGACAGUGCCAAUAUGUCGAGAUUUUUCAGCAAAUGCAGGGAACUAAGAGAUUCAGCUGAGGUAACACUCUCUCCGAGAAGCUUCUUCUGGGCUCCAGCUGCCCCUGGGGACUUCCUUCCUCAUAAAGAAUACUGCAUCACCCUGUGGUAAUUGCCUUUUUAGCUGCCUCUCUUCCCAGCUACACUGUGAGGACAGGACUCCUAUCAAAUAUAAUUCAGAUCUCAACCCACAG